GGAAUCUUGCGCAAUGGGCGAAAGCCUGACGCAGCAACGCCGCGUGCGGGAUGAAGGCCUUCUGGUUGUAAACCGCUUUCAGCAGGGAAGAAAUUGACGGUACCUGCAGAAGAAGCCCCGGCCAACUACGUGCCAGCAGCCGCGGUAACACGUAGGGGGCGAGCGUUGUCCGGAUUUAUUGGGCGUAAAGAGCUCGUAGGCGGUUCGGUAAGUCGGGUGUGAAACCUCCAGGCUCAACCUGGAGACGCCACCUGAUACUGCUGUGACUAGAGUCCGGUAGGGGAGUGUGGAACUCCUGGUGUAGCGGUGAAAUGCGCAGAUAUCAGGAAGAACACCAGCGGCGAAGGCGGCACUCUGGGCCGGUACUGACGCUGAGGAGCGAAAGCGUGGGUAGCAAACAGGAUUAGAUACCCUGGUAGUCCACGCCGUAAACGUUGGGCACUAGGUGUGGGUCUCAACCAACGAGAUCCGUGCCGCAGCUAACGCAUUAAGUGCCCCGCCUGGGGAGUACGGCCGCAAGGCUAAAACUCAAAGGAAUUGACGG
rnacentral:rRNA from 1 species